rnacentral:rRNA from 1 species
GAUGAACGCUGGCGGCGUGCCUAAUACAUGCAAGUCGAGCGAACGGACGAGAAGCUUGCUUCUCUGAUGUUAGCGGCGGACGGGUGAGUAACACGUGGAUAACCUACCUAUAAGACUGGGAUAACUUCGGGAAACCGGAGCUAAUACCGGAUAAUAUUUUGAACCGCAUGGUUCAAAAGUGAAAGACGGUCUUGCUGUCACUUAUAGAUGGAUCCGCGUUGCAUUAGCUAGUUGGUAAGGUAACGGCUUACCAAGGCAACGAUGCAUAGCCGACCUGAGAGGGUGAUCGGCCACACUGGAACUGAGACACGGUCCAGACUCCUACGGGAGGCAGCAGUAGGGAAUCUUCCGCAAUGGGCGAAAGCCUGACGGAGCAACGCCGCGUGAGUGAUGAAGGUCUUCGGAUCGUAAAACUCUGUUAUUGGGGAAGAAAAGAUGUGUAAGAAACUGUGCCCAUCUUGACGGUACCUAAUCAGAAAGCCACGGCUAACUACGUG